GUGAGUCAUCGAGUCUUUGAACGCAAAUGGCGCCAGAGGGAUAUCCUUCCGGCAUGUCUGUUUCAGUGUCUGAGAGGUUUCACACUUAUCUUAAUGUGAUUGACUUGUUGGUAAGUAGAGUCUUUAUUGACUCUGCUCUCUCAAUCGUCUCUCAUGAAAGAUGCGCGAGUGGAUCUUUCGGUCCAAUGAAGUGGUCACAUCACUCGCAUGUGAUUUCAUUGGAAGCACCGAAUUAUCCGCAUCCUCGCGGUUCCACAGCACUACUCACACUAGUGCUACCCUCCAUACCCUGCAUCUGAGACAGGCAAGAUCACCCGCCGAACUUAA
rnacentral:rRNA from 1 species